rnacentral:rRNA from 1 species
GCGCGAAAUCUUUGCAAUAGGCGAAAGCCUGACAAGGUUACUCUGAGUGAUCUCCGCUAAGGAAAUCUUUUGACACCUCUAAAAAUGGUGUAGAAUAAGGGGUGGGCAAGCCUGGUGUCAGCCGCCGCGGUAAUACCAGCACCCCGAGUGGUCGGGACGAUUAUUGGGCCUAAAGCAUCCGUAGCCGGUUCCUUAAGUCCUCCGUUAAAUCCACCUGCUUAACAGAUGGGCUGCGGAGGAUACUAUAGAGCUAGGAGGCGGGAGAGGCAAGCGGUACUCAGUGGGUAGGGGUAAAAUCCGUUGAUCCAUUGAAGACCACCAGUGGCGAAGGCGGCUUGCCAGAACGCGCUCGACGGUGAGGGAUGAAAGCUGGGGGAGCAAACCGGAUUAGAUACCCGGGUAGUCCCAGCUGUAAACGAUGCAGACUCGGUGAUGAAUAGGCUUCGUGCCUGUUCAGUGCCGCAGGGAA